rnacentral:lncRNA from 1 species
GUAAAAUCAAAUCGAUAGCCCUGAUGUAACACUUCCUUUGCAAACAAUACUAGCGAAUGGGCAUGAAUGUUCCACACUUGAGGGGAAAAGUCUCAAUUCAGACCGACGAGACAUAAUUUAGUCGGUCCAUGGGAUAGAUGUUUGCUUUUUCAUGUUGACAUAUCGUAAUACAACACUAUGAUAUAGUAAAGUGACAUGAAAACCCAAGUUUUGGUGAAAAGCUAGUAACAAAACAGUAAGGAACAUUCAAACCCAAGCCCUAGAGUGAGGAAAACACGCAAUUCGGACAGAGGGAGAAGAAUUCUGUGAGGGCUUGGGGUAGAUUUGUUGUUUCACAUGUGCCCAUGUGGAAAUAGAACACUAAGUAAUAGCAAAACAUCAGGAAAAUCAAUGUUUUGGUGAAAAGCUACCCCGUAGACGCCACGAGGCCCACGGGAGGGGGCGAUGCCUCAAAUCACACGACGGAUGGUCUAGAGAACUUGGAAUCUUGGAUGAUGUCAUCAAAUGGGUACAUAAAGAUGGUGUUAAGAGGAAAACACAAUCUAGGUAUCUGAGGUUGCACUUCCUUCACAAACUAGACGAACCUGCACGGAAGUUCCAGACAUAGGGGGGAAAGUCACAAUUCGGAUGGACGAAGCAGAAUCCUAAUACAACACUAUGAUAGAGUAAAGUGACAUGAAAACCCAAGUUUUGGUGAAAAGCUAGCCCGCAGACGCCACGAGGCCCGCAGGAGAGGGUGACGUCUAAUUUAGAAUCGACGGAGCUGAAAUUAGCGAGGACUUGAGUUAAAUUUUUGGUUUCCUUGCACACAUUUUCUAGUAAAACAGUAAGACAAAUUAAAGUGGCAAUAAAUCCCAAGUUUGUGAAGUAAAUAAGUAAGGAAAGAAAAAAAAAAGGAAAAAUGGUCUUUGCCGGCGGCUUUAGUAAGGGCUGCCAGCAAAGACACCUAUGUCGACGGCUUUACUUCGGGCUGCCGGCAUAGGAUUUUAGGUUUUUUUUUAGUAAAAAACCCCGGCCGGCUCUCUCUUUCCCCACUGCAACCUUUCUCGUUCCCCAUCGCAUGCCGCCACCCGCCGCCGCUCUCCUCGCCGCCGCCUCCUGCGGAU